rnacentral:rRNA from 1 species
UACGUAGGGUGCAAGCGUUAAUCGGAAUUACUGGGCGUAAAGUGUGCGCAGGUGGCUGAGCAAGUCGAGUGUGAAAUCCCCGGGCCUAACCUGGAAACUGCAUUUGUGACUGCAUAGCUAGAGUUUGUCAGAGGGGGGUGGAAUUCCACGUGUAGCAGUGAAAUGCGUAGAUAUGUGGAGGAACACCGAUGGCGAAGGCAGCCCCCUGGGAUGUGACUGACGCUCAUGUACGAAAGCGUGGGGAGCAAACAGG